rnacentral:rRNA from 1 species
GACGAACGCUGGCGGCGUGCUUAACACAUGCAAGUCGAGCGGUAAGGCCCUUUCGGGGGUACACGAGCGGCGAACGGGUGAGUAACACGUGGGUGACCUGCCCUCAGCUCUGGGAUAAGCCCGGGAAACUGGGUCUAAUACCGGAUAUGACUCCAUGACGCAUGUUGUGGGGUGGAAAGCCUUGUGCGGCUGAGGAUGGGCCCGCGGCCUAUCAGCUUGUUGGUGGGGUGAUGGCCUACCAAGGCGACGACGGGUAGCCGGCCUGAGAGGGCGACCGGCCACACUGGGACUGAGAUACGGCCCAGACUCCUACGGGAGGCAGCAGUGGGGAAUCUUGCGCAAUGGGCGAAAGCCUGACGCAGCGACGCCGCGUGAGGGAUGACGG